AAUGAACGCUGGCGGCGUGCCUAACACAUGCAAGUCGAACGAGAAAGCGGGCUUCGGCCCGUUAGUAAAGUGGCAGACGGGUGAGUAAUACGUGGGUAACCUAGCCGGAGGUGGGGGAGUAACCCUUCGAAAGGAGGGCUAAUACCGCAUGACACUUCGAGUGCUCCGGUUCUUGAGAUCAAAGCUUGCCUCUACUCGUAAGCAAGCGCCACCGGAGGGGCCCGACGCCCACUUAGCUUGUUGGUGAGGUAACGGCUCACCAAGGCGACGAUGGGUAGCCGGCCUGAGAGGGGUGAUCGGCCACACUGGAACUGAGACACGGUCCAGACUCCUACGGGAGGCAGCAGUGAGGAAUCUUGCGCAAUGGGCGAAAGCCUGACGCAGCGACGCCGCGUGGAGGACGAAGGCCUUCGGGUCGUAAACUCCUGUCAAGCGGGACGAAUCCCGGGCGGAUGAAUAAGCCGGCCGGUUGACGGUACCGCUGGAGGAAGCCCCGGCUAACUCCGUG
rnacentral:rRNA from 1 species